AUGGACGCUGGCGGCGUGCCUAAUACAUGCAAGUCGAGCGAACGGACGAGAAGCUUGCUUCUCUGAUGUUAGCGGCGGACGGGUGAGUAACACGUGGAUAACCUACCUAUAAGACUGGGAUAACUUCGGGAAACCGGAGCUAAUACCGGAUAAUAUUUUGAACCGCAUGGUUCAAAAGUGAAAGACGGUCUUGCUGUCACUUAUAGAUGGAUCCGCGCUGCAUUAGCUAGUUGGUAAGGUAACGGCUUACCAAGGCAACGAUGCAUAGCCGACCUGAGAGGGUGAUCGGCCACACUGGAACUGAGACACGGUCCAGACUCCUACGGGAGGCAGCAGUAGGGAAUCUUCCGCAAAGGGCGAAAGCCUGACGGAGCAACGCCGCGUGAGUGAUGAAGGUCUUCGGAUCGUAAAACUCUGUUAUUAGGGAAGAACAUAUGUGUAAGUAACUGUGCACAUCUUGACGGUACCUAAUCAGAAAGCCACGGCUAACUACGUG
rnacentral:rRNA from 1 species